rnacentral:tRNA from 1 species
GUACCACUUGGUGCGGGUGCUUCGCAUCCGCGCGGCGGUGAGUUCGGUGAUGUUGGACUCGCCCGGUUCGGGGCCGGUGUAGUGCUC